rnacentral:rRNA from 1 species
GACGAACGCUGGCGGCGUGCUUAACACAUGCAAGUCGAACGAAGUGGCGAACGGGUGAGUAACGCGUAAUCAACCUGCCCUUCAGAGGGGGACAAAAGUUGGAAACGACUGCUAAUACCGCAUACAGAAGGAGGGGAUUGCGUCUGAUUGGCUAGUUGGAGGGGUAACGGCCCACCAAGUCGAUGAUCAUUAGGCGCGUGGAGAGAAUGACCGGCCAGAUUGGGACGGAGACACGGCCCAGACUCCUACGGGAGGCAGCAGUGGGGAAUCGUCCGCAAUGGACGAAAUUCUGACGGAGCAACGCCGCGUGAGUGAUGACGGCCUUCGGGUUGUAAAGCUCUUUUAAUCGGGACGCGGUACCGGAAUAGAAAGCCACGGCUAACUACGUGCCAGCAGCCGCGGUAAUAC